GCUGGGCAUGGUGGCUCAGGCCUGUAAUCCCAGCACUUUGGGAAGCUGAGAUGGGAGAAUCACUUGAGCCCAGGAAUUCAAGACCAGCCUGGGCAAUAUAGUGAGACCCCAUCUCUA
ensembl:misc_RNA Metazoa_SRP Metazoan signal recognition particle RNA